UACGAAGGGGGCGAGCGUUAUUCGGAAUCACUGGGCGUAAAGCGUGCGUAGGCGGUUUUGUAAGUUGGAAGUGAAAGCCCAGGGCUCAACCCUGGAAUUGCUUUCAAAACUACAAGGCUAGAAUGUCGGAGAGGAUAGCGGAAUUUCCAGUGUAGCAGUGAAAUGCGUAGAUAUUGGAAGGAACACCAGUGGCGUAAGCGGCUAUCUGGACGACUAUUGACGCUGAGGCACGAAAGCGUGGGGAUCAAAC
rnacentral:rRNA from 1 species